CGUACUGAGACACGGACCAGACUCCUACGGGAGGCAGCAGUGAGGAAUAUUGGACAAUGGGAGCAAUCCUGAUCCAGCCAUGCCGCGUGCAGGAAGACUGCCCUAUGGGUUGUAAACUGCUUUUAUACAGGAAGAAAAAGGUGUACGUGUACACUGUUGACGGUACUGUAAGAAUAAGGAUCGGCUAACUCCGUGCCAGCAGCCGCGGUAAUACGGAGGAUCCAAGCGUUAUCCGGAAUCAUUGGGUUUAAAGGGUCCGUAGGCGGGACAAUAAGUCAGUGGUGAAAGUCUGCAGCUCAACUGUAGAAUUGCCAUUGAUACUGUUGUUCUUGAGUGCUUGUGAAGUGGUUAGAAUGAGUAGUGUAGCGGUGAAAUGCAUAGAUAUUACUCAGAAUACCGAUUGCGAAGGCAGAUCACUAACAAUUCACUGACGCUGAUGGACGAAAGCGUAGGUAGCGAACAGGAUUAGAUACCCUGGUAGUCUACGCCGUAAACGAUGGUUACUAGCUGUUCGGACCAAUUGAGGUCUGAGUGGCUAAGCGAAAGUGAUAAGUAACCCACCUGGGGAGUACGUUCGCAAGAAUGAAACUCAAAGGAAUUGACGG
rnacentral:rRNA from 1 species